rnacentral:rRNA from 1 species
AUUGAACGCUGGCGGCAGGCCUAACACAUGCAAGUCGAACGGUAACAGGAAACAGCUUGCUGUUUCGCUGACGAGUGGCGGACGGGUGAGUAAUGUCUGGGAAACUGCCUGAUGGAGGGGGAUAACUACUAGAAACGGUAGCUAGUACCGCAUAACGUCGCAAGACCAAAGAGGGGGACCUUCGGGCCUCUUGCCAUCGGAUGUGCCCAGAUGGGAUUAGCUAGUAGGUGGGGUAACGGCUCACCUAGGCGACGAUCCCUAGCUGGUCUGAGAGGAUGACCAGCCACACUGGAACUGAGACACGGUCCAGACUCAUACGGGAGGCAGCAGUGGGGAAUAUUGCACAAUGGGCGCAAGCCUGAUGCAGCCAUGCCGCGUGUAUGAAGAAGGCCUUCGGGUUGUAAAGUACUUUCAGCGGGGAGGAAGGGAGUAAAGUCAAUACCUUUGCUCAUUGACGUUACCCGCAGAAGAAGCACCGGCUAACUCCGUGCCAGCCGCCGCGGUAA